rnacentral:rRNA from 1 species
UACAGAGGCCCCAAGCGUUAUCCGGAAUUAUUGGGCGUAAAGGGUGUGUGAGGUGGCGUUGUUAGUCGUUUGUGAAAGCCCGAGGCUCAACCUCGGAAACGACGAACGAAACGGCAAUGCUUGAGUAUGUGAGAGGUAAGCGGAACUCAUGGUGUAGGGGUGAAAUCCGUUGAUAUCAUGGGGAACACCAAAAGCGAAGGCAGCUUACUGGCACAUUACUGACACUGAAACACGAAAGCGUGGGUAGCGAAUGGG